rnacentral:rRNA from 1 species
CGCAUCUGUGCAUGCAGCAUAUCAAUAAGCGGAGGAAAAGAAACUAACAAGGAUUCCCUCAGUAACGGCGAGUGAAGCGGGAAGAGCUCAAAUUUGAAAUCUUGAAAGGUCACCUUUCACGAAUUGUAGUUUAAAGAAGUGUUUUCUGUUACGAUCGUAAUAUAAGUUCUUUGGAAUAGGACAUCACAGAGGGUGAGGAUCCCGUCUAUGAUUGCGAUUUGUAGCUUUGUGAUACACUUUCAAAGAGUCGGGUUGUUUGGGAAUGCAGCCCAAAAUGGGUAGGUAAAUUUCAUCUAAGGCUAAAUAUUGGCGAGAGACCGAUAGCGAACAAGUACCGUGAGGGAAAGAUGAAAAGAACUUUGAAAAGAGAGUUAAAUAGUACGUGAAAUUGUCAAAAGGGAAGCGUUUAACACCAGUGUUGUUUUCUGAAAAUCAACCUCUGUUAGCUUUAUGCAUGUUUGUUUAGACCUAAUCAGCUAUCUUGCAUGUUCUAUUGUUUGCAGUGGUGCACUUUUCAGUUUACAGGUCAACAUCAGUUUUUUUUACCGUAAAAAAGUUAAAGAAAGGUAGCUCAUGGCUCCGGUCGUGAGUGUUAUAGUCUUUUUCCUAUGCGGUAGGAGAGACUGAGGUCUGCAGUGUAGGCUAUUUGGCUAGAUACUCAGGUGCUAUGUGAUACCAUUUCAUAAACAACUUGUUGAUUAUGUUUUGUCUAUUGCAUACUCGCUUGUACUAUCAUACCUACGCUUAGGAUGUUGAAGUCAUCGUAUCGCGC